CCUCUCUUCUCUUUUCUUCUCUUAUUUACUUACAACACGUUAUCAGCACGAAGUUCUAACGAUCUUAAGUUAAUAGGAGGACAAAAUGCGACAUUUAAAAAGGUGACUUCAAAUAGACGAGGAGCUUCAUGUUCUCACAUUUUGUUUGACCCUGAACUCCUAGAAAUAGAAGCCUUCAAAAACAAGAUUUGUUUUUCAGGAUACCAAGAAGAGCCUUUUCAUGUGAGUUGCAUAUUAAUUCGAAUUUUAUUUUGGUUUUCAGUUUCUGAAUAAUAAAGCCUUUGCAACGUAUCGUUCAUAUUUUGAUUUGUACCAUUAUUGUUUUUAGCAUUUGAUCUUAAGAUUCUAAUUGAUGAACUAUGUACCGUUUAAAUUAUCUUGCCAGGACUAAAUUAUUGAAAGCGUUAUUUUUAGUUAUUUAUUGUCCAUUGUUUAGUUUGUUUUAUUUUGUUGCUAAAUAUUUCAUUGAAAUGAAAUAAUCGAUUAGUUUAUAAAUAUUAUAAAAACUACAAAAGAGAUUUCGCAGGUAUAAUUUCGGAAACAAAAGAAGGUAAGAAAUAUUGAAAGAGUAAUAAACUCCAUAGU